rnacentral:lncRNA from 1 species
AAAGAUUCAGCCGUACACGGAGCAGAGCACCAAAAUGGUAUUUUUUGUUCAAAACGAGCCUCCCCACCAGAUCUUCAAAGGCCAUGAGGUGGCAGCGAUGCUCAAGAGUGAGCUGCGGAAGCAAAAGGCAGACUUUUUGAUAUUCAGAGCCUUGGAAGUCAACACUGUCAGUGAGUAAUUCUGGGAAUUUGGGAGCAAGAGCCUACCUAGUGCCUGCAGCUCACCCAUUGGUCCUUUCUGUCCUUGGCCUUCAUCUUCUUUUCUCUGGGAAGAUGGAGAUAAUCAUUCUCUUGCA